rnacentral:lncRNA from 1 species
ACAGGGCACGGGGGCAAAACAGAGCCAUUCUGUGACAAACUCACCUCCCAAAGCCACUCAGGGCGGUUGGCUGCAACAGCAGCGACUCAGAGGGAAAGGCCACUGCACCAGCCCUCAGCUCGGGGACAAGGCGGUGAGAUGAUACCACAGGGCAUUCAGCCAGGGCCCCAGAUCAGGUGUGACGUGGAAACCAAGCAUUCUUCAGGGAAGGCCUGGCAGCAGAGACCCGACUUCUGGGCAGGCAGAGCAGUCAAGGCUGCCCAGCAGCUGCUGGUGGACCCUGGGAAACCAGCUGGGGCUGCACAGGGCCCUCCUCUCCCGCCGAGCUGAUGGAACACAUAUGUCACCUCCUCCUGAGGAUGCGGCCCAGAUGGAAAUCACUCCUGGCUGCCCAAACGGAGACCCGGUGCCUCUGGUCAUGUCCACAUCUCGUCCAACGCUUCCGCCGCCACCAAGUCUGGAAAGAGCUGCUCUUAUCUCAGGCUACCCACUUCCACUCCACGCCCCUCCCUGUCCCAGCUCUUGGAAUGAGCGCCAGCUUCCUAGAAGUGGAGUGUACCUCAUUCCCGAACAGGCCCUCUGUCUGGAACGUGCCUCUUCUCGCUCCCUGAGUCAUCAAUAAAUCUGUCUCACUUUGUCCUGA